rnacentral:RNase_P_RNA from 1 species
GGGUGGCAACAUCCCGUGGCAGGGCAAGCCCCACCCGGAGUAAGGCCAAAUAGGGGAACGAUAGUGCUGCCCGCACUGUUCCCGGGUAGGCCGCAUGAGGCGCUUGGCGACAGGCGUCCCAGAUGAAUGGCUGUCCACGACAGAACCCGGCUUACCGGCCAACUCCUUUU